rnacentral:snRNA from 1 species
GUGCUUGCUUCAGUGCACAUACACUAAAAUUGAAAUGAAACGGAGCAGAUUAGCAUGGUCUCUGUGGCAAGGAAAUUCGCGAGGCAUUCCCUUUAGUA